UCGACGCGGGCACUUGUGCCCGAGUGGCGAACGGGUGAGUAAUACAUAAGUAACCUGGCCUUUACAGGGGGAUAACUGCUGGAAACGGCAGCUAAGACCGCAUAGGUAGGGACACUGCAUGGUGACCGUAUUAAAAGUGCUGCAAGGCACUGGUAGAGGAUGGACUUAUGGCGCAUUAGCUGGUUGGUGAGGUAACGGCUCACCAAGGCGACGAUGCGUAGCCGACCUGAGAGGGUGACCGGCCACACUGGGACUGAGACACGGCCCAGACUCCUACGGGAGGCAGCAGUAGGGAAUUUUCGGCAAUGGGGGGGACCCUGACCGAGCAACGCCGCGUGAAGGAAGAAGGAAUUCGUUCUGUAAACUUCUGUUAUAAAGGAAGAAAGACGGAUGGAGGAAAUGACAUCCGAGUGACGGUACUUUAUGAGAAAGCCACGGCUAACUACGUGCCAGCAGCCGCGGUAAUACGUAGGUGGCAAGCGUUAUCCGGAAUUAUUGGGCGUAAAGAGGGAGCAGGCGGCAGCAAAGGUCUGUGGUGAAAGACUGAAGCUUAACUUCAGUAAGCCAUAGAAACCGGGCAGCUAGAGUGCAGGAGAGGAUCGUGGAAUUCCAUGUGUAGCGGUGAAAUGCGUAGAUAUAUGGAGGAACACCAGUGGCGAAGGCGACGAUCUGGCCUGCAACUGACGCUCAGUCCCGAAAGCGUGGGGAGCAAAUAGGAUUAGAUACCCUAGUAGUCCACGCCGUAAACGAUGAGUACUAAGUGUUGGAAGUCAAAUUUCAGUGCUGCAGUUAACGCAGUAAGUACUCCGCCUGAGUAGUACGUUCGCAAGAAUGAAACUCAA
rnacentral:rRNA from 1 species